CAUGCAAGUCGAGCGAUGAAAUUUUGACAGAUCCCUUCGGGGUGAAGAUAAAAUGGAUUAGCGGCGGACGGGUGAGUAACACGUGAGUAACCUGCCUUAGACAUUGGGAUAGCCUCGGGAAACCGGGAUUAAUACCGAAUAAAAUCACAGAUACACAUGUAUCCAUGAUCAAAACUCCGGUGGUCUAAGAUGGACUCGCGUCCCAUUAGCUAGUUGGUGAGGUAACGGCCCACCAAGGCGACAAUGGGUAGCCGGCCUGAGAGGGUGAACGGCCACAUUGGAACUGAGAAACGGUCCAAACUCCUACGGGAGGCAGCAGUGGGGAAUAUUGCACAAUGGAGGGAACUCUGAUGCAGCGACGCCGCGUGAACGAAGGAGGCUUUCGAGUCGUAAAGUUCUUUUAUAUGGGAAGAUAAUGACGGUACCAUAAGAAAAAGCCCCGGCUAACUACGUGCCAGCAGCCGCGGUAAUACGUAGGGGGCUAGCGUUGUCCGGAAUCACUGGGCGUAAAGGGUUCGCAGGCGGAAAUGCAAGUCAGAUGUAAAAGGCAGUAGCUUAACUACUGUAAGCAUUUGAAACUGCAUAUCUUGAGAAGAGUAGAGGUAAGUGGAAUUUUUAGUGUAGCGGUGAAAUGCGUAGAUAUUAAAAAGAAUACCGGUGGCGAAGGCGACUUACUGGGCUCAUUCUGACGCUGAGGAACGAAAGCGUGGGUAGCAAACAGGAUUAGAUACCCUGGUAGUCCACGCUGUAAACGAUGAGUGCUAGGUGUCGGCUUAAGUCGGUGCCGCAGUUAACACAAUAAGCACUCCGCCUGGGG
rnacentral:rRNA from 1 species